rnacentral:rRNA from 1 species
GUGGGGAAUCUUGCGCAAUGGGCGAAAGCCUGACGCAGCCAUACCGCGUGAAUGAUGAAGGUCUUAGGAUUGUAAAAUUCUUUCACCGGGGACGAUAAUGACGGUACCCGGAGAAGAAGCCCCGGCUAACUUCGUGCCAGCAGCCGCGGUAAUACGAAGGGGGCUAGCGUUGCUCGGAAUUACUGGGCGUAAAGGGCGCGUAGGCGGACAGUUUAGUCAGAGGUGAAAGCCCAGGGCUCAACCUUGGAAUUGCCUUUGAUACUGGCUGUCUUGAGUACGGGAGAGGUGAGUGGAACUCCGAGUGUAGAGGUGAAAUUCGUAGAUAUUCGGAAGAACACCAGUGGCGAAGGCGACUCACUGGCCCGUUACUGACGCUGAGGCGCGAAAGCGUGGGGAGCAAACAGGAUUAGAAACCCGGGUAGUCC